AGUGAACGCUGGCGGUAGGCCUAACACAUGCAAGUCGAACGGCAGCACAGUAAGAGCUUGCUCUUACGGGUGGCGAGUGGCGGACGGGUGAGGAAUACAUCGGCAUCUACUUUUUCGUGGGGGCUAACGUAGGGAAACUUACGCUACUACCGCAUACGACCUACGGGUGAAAGCAGGGGAUCUUCGGACCUUGCGCGAUUGAAUGAGCCGAUGUCGGAUUAGCUAGUUGGCGGGGUAAAGGCCCACCAAGGCGACGAUCCGUAGCUGGUCUGAGAGGAUGAUCAGCCACACUGGAACUGAGACACGGUCCAGACUCCUACGGGAGGCAGCAGUGGGGAAUAUUGGACAAAGGGCGCAAGCCUGAUCCAGCCAUACCGCGUGGGUGAAGAAGGCCUUCGGGUUGUAAAGCCCUUUUGUUGGAAAAGAAAAGCAGCAGGUUAAUACCCCGCUGUUCUGACGGUACCCAAAGAAUAAGCACCGGCUAACUUCGUG
rnacentral:rRNA from 1 species